rnacentral:tRNA from 1 species
GAGAAAGACCGCAAGAACUGCUAACUCAUGCAUCCAUAUAUAAAAAUAUGGCUUUCUUA